rnacentral:lncRNA from 1 species
AGGUUUCUUGUACUAAGUUACUGAUUAUCAUGACACUGUCAUAACAUGAGGUACCAGGACAGACAGGAGAUGUGAGAAGUAGCAGUUUUAAAAUAUCGCAGGAAAUGUUAAUUUCAAUAGUAUUUUAUCUUUUGGUAAGUUUUGAAUAGUCUCAUAUAUAAAAUAAUUAGAAUUUUGAAUAAAAUUGAGAAAGGAAAUGGGGAAUGUGUCAAAGCGACAACAACCCGACCAUAGAGCAGACAACAGCCGAAGGCCACCAAUGGGUACAGUACAUUGUAGUUGCAAAGGGAGAUAAGAUCAAUAUGUAAUAGCUUCAAAGAUAUGAAAAAAUAUAUGUUAUAUUUUACUAGAUUUUUGCACAUGAUCUCCUGAUAUGUUCUGAAUUUGAUCAUAGGUAUUUUUUUUUUAUUGUUCAUGUAUCAUUAUGAAUUGUUUUUUUCUUAUUUUUGUAUGAACUAUUCUGAUCAUUCAUAAAGUCAAAUAGACAAUACCAAACUUUGAUUUAAAAUGAUAUGCAAUGCAGUACAUAUACUAUAAAUCUAUUAAUUAAUGAUUUUUUUUUCUAGAAUGGACAUAUAUGGAACUGUAACACAGAGAAGCUGACUUGAAAGAAAUAUACUUAGUAUUUUGUGUGCUGAUAGAGAAUGACAGUCACAGACUUUUAUAAAUGUUGUAAUUCAAACA